rnacentral:rRNA from 1 species
UGGGGAAUAUUGCACAAUGGGCGCAAGCCUGAUGCAGCCAUGCCGCGUGUAUGAAGAAGGCCUUCGGGUUGUAAAGUACUUUCAGUCGGGAGGAAGGUGUCAAGGUUAAUAACCUUUGCUCAUUGACGUUACCCGCAGAAGAAGCACCGGCUAACUCCGUGCCAGCAGCCGCGGUAAUACGGAGGGUGCAAGCGUUAAUCGGAAUUACUGGGCGUAAAGCGCACGCAGGCGGUUUGUUAAGUCAGAUGUGAAAUCCCCGGGCUCAACCUGGGAACUGCAUCUGAUACUGGCAAGCUUGAGUCUCGUAGAGGGGGGUAGAAUUCCAGGUGUAGCGGUGAAAUGCGUAGAGAUCUGGAGGAAUACCGGUGGCGAAGGCGGCCCCCUGGACGAAGACUGACGCUCAGGUGCGAAAGCGUGGGGAGCAAACAGG